CCUACGGGGGACUGCAGUCGAGAAUCAUUCACAAUGGGGGAAACCCUGAUGGUGCGACGCCGCGUGGGGGAAUGAAGGUCUUCGGAUUGUAAACCCCUGUCAUGUGGGAGCAAAUUAAAAAGAUAGUACCACAAGAGGAAGAGACGGCUAACUCUGUGCCAGCAGCCGCGGUAAUACAGAGGUCUCAAGCGUUGUUCGGAAUCACUGGGCGUAAGGCGUGCGUAGGCUGUUUCGUAAGUCGUGUGUGAAAGGCGCGGGCUCAACCCGCGGACGGCACAUGAUACUGCGAGACUAGAGUAAUGGAGGGGGAACCGGAAUUCUCGGUGUAGCAGUGAAAUGCGUAGAUAUCGAGAGGAACACUCGUGGCGAAGGCGGGUUCCUGGACAUUAACUGACGCUGAGGCACGAAGGCCAGGGGAGCGAAAGGGAUUAGAUACCCUAGUAGUC
rnacentral:rRNA from 1 species